UGCGAGUCAUAUGUUCUUCGUGAACAUGGCGUACUGCUCAGUAACACGUGGAUAACCUGCCCUUGGGACCGGGAUAACCCCGGGAAACUGGGGAUAAUACCGGAUAACGCAUAUCUGCUGGAAUGCUUUAUGCGUAAAAUGGAUUUGUCUGCCCAAGGAUGGGUCUGCGGCCUAUCAGGUAGUAGUGGGUGUAAUGUACCUACUAGCCUACGACGGGUACGGGUUGUGAGAGCAAGAGCCCGGAGAUGGAUUCUGAGACAUGAAUCCAGGCCCUACGGGGCGCAGCAGGCGCGAAAACUUUACAAUGCGGGAAACCGUGAUAAGGGGACACCGAGUGCCAGCAUCAUAUGUUGGCUGUCCAGAUGUGUAAAAUACAUCUGUUAGCAAGGGCCGGGCAAGACCGGUGCCAGCCGCCGCGGUAACACCGGCGGCCCGAGCGGUGAUCGUGAUUAUUGGGUCUAAAGGGUCCGUAGCCGGUUUGGUCAGUCCUCCGGGAAAUCUGACGGCUCAACCGUUAGGCUUUCGGUGGAUACUGCCAGACUUGGAACCGGGAGAGGUAAGAGGUACUACAGGGGUAGGAGUGAAAUCUUGUAAUCCCUGUGAGACCACCUGUGGCGA
rnacentral:rRNA from 1 species